AUUGAACGCUGGCGGCGUGCUUAACACAUGCAAGUCGAACGAAGUGGCGAACGGGUGAGUAACGCGUAAUCAACCUGCCCUUCAGCGGGGGAUAACAGUUGGAAACGACUGCUAAUACCGCAUACUGAAGGAGGGGCUUGCGUCUGAUUAGCUAGUUGGGGGGGUAACGGCCCACCAAGGCGAUGAUCAGUAGCCGGGCUGAGAGGAUGAACGGCAAAAUUGGGACUGGGACACGGCCCAGGUUCCUACGGGAGGCAGGAGUGGGGAAUCUUCCGCAAAGGACGAAAGUCUGGCGGAGCAACGCCGCGUGAGUGAUGACGGCCUUCGGGUUGUAAAGCUCUGUUAAUCGGGACGCGGUACCGGAAUAGAAAGCCACGGCUAACUACGUGCCAGCAGCCGCGGUAAUAC
rnacentral:rRNA from 1 species